GAUGAACGCUGGCGGCGUGCCUAAUACAUGCAAGUCGAGCGAAUGGAUUAAGAGCUUGCUCUUAUGAAGUUAGCGGCGGACGGGUGAGUAACACGUGGGUAACCUGCCCAUAAGACUGGGAUAACUCCGGGAAACCGGGGCUAAUACCGGAUAACAUUUUGAACCGCAUGGUUCGAAAUUGAAAGGAGGCUUCGGCUGUCACUUGUGGAUGGACCCGCGUCGCAUUAGCUAGUUGGUGAGGUAACGGCUCACCAAGGCAACGAUGCGUAGCCGACCUGAGAGGGUGAUCGGCCACACUGGGACUGAGACACGGCCCAGACUCCUACGGGAGGCAGCAGUAGGGAAUCUUCCGCAAUGGACGAAAGUCUGACGGAGCAACGCCGCGUGAGUGAUGAAGGCUUUCGGGUCGUAAAACUCUGUUGUUAGGGAAGAACAAGUGCUAGUUGAAUAAGCUGGCACCUUGACGGUACCUAACCAGAAAGCCACGGCUAACUACGUGCCAGCCGCCGCUGUAA
rnacentral:rRNA from 1 species